AUUGUGUGCACGGCGGCGCAUGAAAUCACGGCAGACGUUGGCCGUGUAGCGUGUUUAUCGACACGAGUGUUAUCGUGGUCGGAUCUUGCGCGAAGAGCAGCGCUCGUUCGGGUGGUACCAAUUUGUCGUUCCUUUAUCAACCGUCAUCUGAUGGCGACCCGACACCGCGCUGGGCCGCGGCCAACCGAAUGCAACGUUGCCUUGAAGUGACACCGGGCCUACAAUGGGGAACAAAGCGGCGUCCACUUCUUUGCCAGGGGUUUUGUUUCAUUCCGCGGUGGACAAGCCUUGUUAUUUGUCAUGCAUUUUGACCCUCGCCGAUUUCAUCUUGGAUAUUUUUCUCUGCCUGGUAGAGGUGCUCGCGCGCCAAUUCUAAAGAAGGUUCGUACACGCGUGUCUCUGAGAACCGAGUGUUUUUCGCGAGAAGAAAGUGAACGGUGUAUGAUAAGGAAUUGAUUUUGAUUUACAAUGUAUGAGAGAUGUUCCUGUUAUUUCUAAUUGAAACGAUGUGGAUGAUUGACUAAGACGAUAUCGACAGUUAUUAUAUCAAGAUAACUGAUUUUUUACCCUGGCUAGAAAUAAUAGAAAUUGAAUUUGCAAGAAUAUACAAGCUAAAAAGAAGAUACAAGCAUCUUGUACCGUCGAUGCAGGUUCAAUCACAGAGUACAAGUACAAGUCCAAUGGCGUAAUCUUCCUUCAUGUCACUCGAUCAUCGUUCAGAUGAAUUUACAGUUUCACACUUAACGGGCCAUUAUGAUGUUAAUGGCGUUAUUAAUUACUGGAAGAGACACCUCCAAGCUUCGAUGAAGGUUUCCACAGUACGAUACAAUCGCUGCGAGGAGGCUCCAUUAACCUUUAAACAGAUGCUGAGAAAAAUGAAUAAUGAGUCGUGCAAUCGCGAUUUCAGAUGUUAAAAUAAUAAGCCGUAGAAUGUGAUCACAUACGAUGUAGGUAUCAAUUAUUUAUGAAUGACACGGGACAAUUUUUCUACAAAGCUUCACACGAGUAACGAACCGGAACUAACGACCAAAUUAAACGUAUC